GAUGAACGCUGGCGGCGUGCCUAAUACAUGCAAGUCGAGCGAACGGACGAGAAGCUUGCUUCUCUGACGUUAGCGGCGGACGGGUGAGUAACACGUGGAUAACCUACCUAUAAGACUGGGAUAACUUCGGGAAACCGGAGCUAAUACCGGAUAAUAUUUUGAACCGCAUGGUUCAAUAGUGAAAGACGGUCUUGCUGUCACUUAUAGAUGGAUCCGCGCUGCAUUAGCUAGUUGGUAAGGUAACGGCUUACCAAGGCAACGAUGCGUAGCCGACCUGAGAGGGGGAUCGGCGAAACUGGAACUGAGACACGGUCCAGACUACGACGGGAGGCAGCAGUAGGGAAUCUUCCGCAAUGGGCGAAAGCGUGACGGAGCAACGCCGCGUGAGUGAUGAAGGUCUUAGGAUCGUAAAACUCUGUUAUUAGGGAAGAACAAAUGUGUAAGUAACUAUGAACGUCUUGACGGUACCUAAUCAGAAAGCCACGGCUAAAUACGUG
rnacentral:rRNA from 1 species